UAGUUGCAAAGAAAUACAUACCAAAUAUUACUGCCCCGAAGAAGAAAGAACAAACAUAAAUAUUUGAUUAUUCUUCUACCCUCCAUGCUAGAAUUGAAUGUGUCUGAAGAAAAGCAACAUUGGCAUAUGCAAACGGGAACCCCUUUUUAGAGAACCCCAUGCAGCUUAUGUACAUAGAAUCAGCUAGAAUCAAAACGUGUAGCAUCAUCACAAUACAUCAUUUUUUCCUAUCUGCUUGGAGAAGGAAAACUUUUCCCCCCAUUGGAUUCCCCCAUUAGAACCCCAAAGCACAUAAAAUAAAAGCCUGACUAGAUAACCUUAUCCUCGCUUAUUAUGCAUCUUCUUCGGGUCUUCCUGCUCUGCAUCUACUAAGCCUACUUUACAUAUGCUUAAAAAAAACCUGGAAAGGGAAGAAGAGUGGUCUUGGUGCCUUUUUUCUUUUUUCUUUUUUUUCAAAACCUUUCAAUAUUUACUCGUGAUAUCCUUUAGCAAAAGAAAGUUGAGGCGUGGCAUGGCAUGGCAUAUCUACACGGGAACCACAUCUUUAUUAUAAAUCUGUAAAUCUAUAAAUCUGUAAGCAGGGAGGAGUAUAUAAAAUUUGUACUAAGUACAAAACUUGAUGGCAAAAGUACAAUAAAUCUUAUGAAGUUGGAGAACUGAAAGGAUAACCAUGUAUUGUCAAAAGAAUCGAGUUGAAUAAAUUACGUGAUCCAGGGUAAUUUAAGAAAUUUCAAUUUGCUACUAUAGUUAAUUGGGACUAAGCAAACGCAUUGCUACUAAGCAACUCUUUGGAGAGACUCCAAAGAGAAUCCAUAAAGAGCAUGAAACUCGAAUGUUUUGCGGUUCUAGAAGUCCGUGAAUCAUUCUCAAAAUAUCAUUGUUAUGAUGUUAAGAGAGUGUUACUGAUAAAUUUUGCGUGUCAUUCUUGUGUUGAAUCUUGAGAAAAAUUAGUGGUGAUAAAAUUUGAUACAAUUUAUCAAUAUUAUUCGAAUUUGACACAUUUUUUGUAAAUUUAGAUUGAUUAUAAUAUUAUUUAAUUAAAUUCGUGUCGACCUAUAUAACUUAUUUAAUAAAUAGAUUAUUUUCUUUAUCAACCUAUAUGACAUGAAUUUGACCCAAAAUGACCUAUUUAAUAACCGUGUUGAUUAAUCAAAUUAUAAUCAUAACCAAUUUAGCUUAUAUUUGAUUGAUUUAAAAUUUGAUUUUGAAUAAAUAGGUCAAUCGGCUAAUAAACAUGUUAGGUUGAGAUGUUAAUCAUAUUGGCUGAAACAAAGAUCUAGUUCGACUUGAUUAUUAAAUGAGACUUAACUAUUAAAUGAGUUAUAUAAUAUAUUACCUGUUUAGUAAUUAGCAUGUUUGGUUUAUAUUUUAAUUUGAUUAUUAUUUGAUUUGUGCUUAAGUUGACCUAUUUAGUCCAAUGCAUGAGUUUUGACAUAUCACAAACACAAUUCACCAACAUGAAUUGUCACCCCUAAAACAAUAAGAGAUUUAUGUAAAUUGAUACAUUUCUAGUAGGGAUGGCAACGGGACGGUUUCAUGAUAGGUCAUCAUCCCAAUCCUGCCUUGUUUAUUCAAAAUAUUUUUCAUCCAUGUCUCAUUAAAAGAAUUAAAUGGAGCUGGGAGGGGCGGCGUGAGUAUGCAAAUUUCUCAUACUCAUUCCGUACCGCUUCAUUUAACCUUUUAAAUAUAUAUAUAUAUAUAUUUCAAAAUAUUUAACUAUAUUAAAAUAUUAUAGUUUUUUAUAACUUAUUUGAUUGAAAGGUAUUUUUUAUUAUUAUUAUUAUUAAAAAUAAGAAAAUAAAAAUUAAUUUAAUUUAAUUUUAAAAAUCAUUUUUAUAUAUAAUCAGGGUGAGGUAAGACAAGACAAUAUCCGAACUUGCCUUGAAUCCAUCAUAGAUUUAAAAAAAAAAAAAUCAAAUCCACCUUUAACCCUUUUAUUUAAAUUUCAAACUUGCCCCAUAAAGACAAGGCGAGGUAGGUACCGCCUCAAUGUCAUCAUUAAUCUCUAACCAAGAGUUUUAAAUUACACAUAUUCAUUCUCUUGCUAGGUAUCCUACAAAGUAUUAAAAAUCUCUUUUUAACGAGUAUUGGCAUAAGAAAUAAAGAAAUUUUUUUGUCAAAAACUCUUUAUACCAUCAAGACACAUCAAGAGGGUAUUGGAAAAAAAAAAUUGUCUUAAUGACUACAUUAACUUUACCUUGAUCAAACCAAGUGUCUUAACCAUAAGAUUCAUGAAUUCAUACAUGCAUGUUUGUGGUUCACAUUAAUGUAUUUUUAUGAUAUUAAUUGGAUUGAUCCUAAAAUAAAUAACUCAAAGGUCAAGUUCCAAAAUUUAUUAUUAAGAAUAAGAUAUGAAGAAUUGUCUAUUAUUGCACUGAUAAAAAAUUUGAUGUUUCAUAGUAGAAAUAAACAUAUAAGUAUCAAAUUCAUUAUAUUAAGGAACUCGUAAAAAAUUAUGAGAUUGAAUUUGGGCUUUGUAGAUCAAAAGAUCAAGUUGCAAAUAUUUUUAUAAAACUAUUAAAAAUUGAUGUGUUCAAGAAGUUGAAAAUGAUGUUUAGUGUGAUUGACCUUACAACUUAGUUUAAAGGAGAAUGUUGAAAUUAUAAUCUAACUUAAAGUCAAAUUAUAAGAAUUUUAGGAAUUUGAGAAACAUUAUAAAUUGUUUAUUUAGGUUUCUUACAUUAAUUAGGAUUUCUAUACUAAUAUGAAUUGGAAUCGUACACAAGUAUGAUUAAUAUAUUAUAAAUAAGUUUGUUAUUAUGUAAAAUAUAUAUAUAUAUAUAUAUAAUAAGAUAUUAUUUUAGCAAAAAUAUUAUCAAUACCCAAUCACGUGGCUUUAAGCAAGGAAUUGGGUCAUUGAGCUCACCACUCCUAUCUACACUACAAAACAAGAAGAUUAGCAAAGAGAGAACUUGUACCCACAGGUACAUGGGACUCUGAUUAAUCAUAGCUUUGAUAUAUAAGAAUCAAAAUGGUUUAGUUCUAGAAAUGGCUUUAUUUGAAUGCACGUUUUUUUUUUUUUUUUUUUUAAUGUUUUGAAAAAAUUAGAAGGUUUUAUAUAGAAAGUAAAAAAAUUUAUUCAAUAGAUAUAGAUUCACCUUAUAUCCUCAAAAAAAUUUUAAAAAUUGAAGUAAAAAACUUUCCAUAUCUCAAAUUUUUUAAGUAGUUUUUAAAAAUUAUUACAUUUUCAAUAGAAGCCCAUAAAGGUUUAAAUUACUUAUAUUUUCUAUUUUUAAUAAUUUAAGAAGAAGAAUUAUUUUAUUAAAAUAGAUGAAAUAAUCUUGAAUCAACAAAAUUAGCCUCUUCCAUAUUUAAACUUAAAAAAUAAUAUAUUUCAACAUAAAUACCCUUCAUUAUUAGGAUUAUUUUCAUAUAAAUUUUAGAAGAAAAUUUUACUUUUAUUGGAAAACAUGAAGAGUAUGUCUUUAAAAAAUUGAUCAAUUUUUUAGACUUUAUAUUUACAAAUUUGAAAUUAUUUUAUCUUUUUUUUAUCAAAUAACCCAAGAAAAAAAUAUAUAUAUAUGCAAAGGAACACCUAAAUUAUUAUUCUUCAACAACAAUUAGAAAAAGUUAAAGAUAUUCAAACAAAAGGUGAUAUACAUGUUUCGUGAAUCUAAAAUGACGAACUGAGAUGAUGUUUAUUUUUUUUACUUGCUUUUAAAUGAAAAUAAAAAUUAAAUAGUACUUAAUAGUGUUAAGUAUUAAAUUAUUUGUUUUCAUAAUAUUUUAUUUUUAUUAAGUAUUAAAAAGUAAAAAAAAAAAUCAACAUUUUAUUUUUUUUAUUUUUAAAAAAAAGUUAAAUAUUUUAAUUUUUUUGUUAAACCAAAAAUUUAAAAUAAAUUAUGAAAAAAAAAAACAAACAAACAACUUAAAAUUUGAAAACAAAUUACUGUCAACAAAAAACUAAAAAAAUAAAUACUUUUAAUUCCUAUUGUAAAACUUUAUUUGUGAGUAACCCUUAUAUUAAAUCAUUACCAUAUGUAAAUUUCAUUCUAAGGCACAAGAUUUAGAGUUGACAAAAUUAGUGUCUAAAAUAGUAAAAUGUCAACGAGUGACACGUCAGCUUUAGGCGACACAUCAUUUAAAAAAAAAUAGGAAAAAAAGGAACGAACAAACGAAAAGGAAACAAUGCAAGAAGCUAGCGAAGAGGUAGUCACAUCAAGAGUAGACGAAGAUGGUGGGUGAAGUGAUGAGCAGAGAGCUGGGAGCUAGGUUCACUUCCAGUGGAAAAUGUCCAAGCUCUUGCUUCGAGCAACUCCGAUGAUAUGCCACUCUGGUACCU
rnacentral:lncRNA from 1 species